ACUGGUUCACUCCCCAGAUGACCGCAACUGCCAGAGCUGUGCCCAUCUGAAGCUGGGUGCCAUGAGUCUCCUCCGGGUCUCCCACGUGGGUGCAGGAGCCCAAGGGCUUGGGCCAUCUUCAACUGCUUUCCCAGGCCAUAGCAGAGAGCUGGAUCAGAAGUGGAGCAGUCGGGUCUCAAACCGGCUCCCAGGUGGGGUGCUGGCACUGCAGGCAGCGGCUUUACCCGCUACCCCACAGCUCUGGCCUUGAAUCUUACCUUUUUAAGACUGAAUAUACAGGAAGUGGAGCUAGACUAAUGAAGUGGAGCGGAUUAAUGAAAAGUAGUUAAAGGAGAUAAAAGGUUUUCAGCUGUAUGUAAAACUUACAGAAUUACUCAUAGUUUUAGUUUACAGGUAAAAUGAGGUAGAGGUCUAUUAAUAUUUCUGCUGAUUAUUUUCUUCACCUCGUCAUGAGUUUACAUUUACAAAGUCAUCUAGGCAUUUGGGAAUACAAAAAAAAAAUCACUGUUUUUUAUAAGCGUUGGAGCUCACUUUGAUAUGACAAUAUAUAGCAGUAUAUAACAGUACAACAGUGCCCUGAAUGGAAAAGCAUUCCAGUAAGAAUUCCUCACUUAGCACAUUUCUCAAGGGAGCUCACCAUUCUGCUUUGAGCAUUUGAUUUAGUUUUUUUCUUUUUUUAAGAUUGAUUUAUUUAUUUGAGAAGCAGAGUUCCAGACAGAGGGAGAGAAAGAGAUCUUCCAUCCACUGGUUCACUCCCCAAAUGGCCGCAACAGCCAGAGCUGGGCAGAUCUGAAGCCAAGAGCCAGGAGCUUCUUUCUGGUCUCAUACCACCAACGGCAAAACCUGCCUUGCUUCUGCAGUGAGUGUGCUACAGAAGAUAGGAGAGUCCUGCUGCGGGGAACCGGCGUAUGCAGGUGCCUGCCUAGAGGAAGGUUUCCAGAGAUGUGGUUCUCUGAAGCAAUGCACAUGCACCUGCAGACUUCCUGGAGUGUUUGUGAAACAUGUCUGCUGGGUAGGAGUUGUGCAGCAGGUUAAGCCUCAGCUUGGGACACCCUCAUCCUGUCUGGAGAUUGGCUCUUCCACUUCUGAUCCAGCUUCUUGCUAACAUGCACCAUGGGAGUGGUGGAGGAUGGCCCAAGUACUUGGUUUUUUCUGCCACCAACGUGAUAAACCUGGAUGAAGUUCCUGCCUCCUGGCUUCCACCUGGCCCAACCCUGGCUGAGGUGGGCAUUUGGGAAGUGAACCAAUGGAUGGAAAAAUCGGUCUCUGUCUCACCCUGCCUUUCAGAUACAUAAAUAAAUUUUCAAAAACAGUGGAGAGGCUAUAUGAAGUGUUACUUCCCUAAGGAGUUACCAUUUGCUGUUUUCUAACUAAUAAUUUUUGGGUAUUAUGCAAUAACAGUCCUCUGUUUACCCCAAUUCUGAUUAUUUUAUCAACUGAUCUUUAGCAAAUUACCUUAUACAUUAGUCUCAAACUUAAUGUUUCUUGUAAGAAUUACCAGGGGGUUCAUCUCAAGAAGAUUAAUAAUAAUAAAAAAGACACUUUAACACAGAAUAGAAAAAGGGACAUGUGCUGUCUGUGGCCAGGGCUUGUGUAUCCAUGUGAAAAGUUGCAACUAAAGCACUUCUAAGUUAAUGCUGGAAGACAUGUGGCUUUCAUGAAGUCUUUGUUUGUAAGGCAAGAAUCUGAGUUUUCCUAUAGGGAACCUGUCUUGUCUGUAAAUCAGCUUCUCUACAUUGAAAGCAUUUGCAGAAAUGCCUAUUGGUAGUACUGAGAGGAAAAGCAAAUUAAAUGAGAAAACUGGAAUCCUGACAGGCAAGUCUUUAGUAGUUUGAGCUAAUCUUGAGAGAUAAGAGUAACACUGACGACAUAGGAUUGAAAUACAGUAAUGUCUUCAAGGCUGUAGCAGGAAGGAUGACCAACACAAAACAAGGUACAGUUAACACCCAGGAAGUUAUGCAGAAACUUGGGGUUGUGGUAGGACCUCAGUGACCCCAUGUUUCAGCCUCGGUGCAUAGACACUAAAAGGGAGGUCUCCUUUUUUGUUUGUUUUUAUUUAUUUAUUUGACAGGUAGAGUUAUACACAGAGAGAGAGAGAAAGGUCUUCCUUCCAUUGGUUCAUUCCCCAAAUAGCUGCUACGGCUGGCACUGCACCAGUCCGAAGCCAGGAGCCAGGUGCUUUCUCCUGGUCUCCCAUGCGGGUGCAGGGGCCCAAGCACUCGGGCCAUCCUCCACUGCCUUCCCGGGCCACAGCAGAGAGCUGGACUGGAAGAGGAGCAACCGGGACUAGAACCUGGUGCCCAUAUGGGAUGCCGGCGCCACAGGCAGAGGAUUAACCAAGUGAGCCACAGUGCCAGCCCCUCAAGGAGGUCUCCUUUCUAAGCUAACUUCUGAGUUACCAGAAACCAGGCUCUUAACUGAUUAGACAUCAGGAAGUCAGUGGUAAUUGAGUAGCUCUCUGAACAUUUUUUCUUACUACUUUAUGGAAGCUUUUGAUUCCUUCCUUUGAGAUAAUCUCUGAGGCCUGAGGAGCACUGGAGGAUGAAUUUGAAGAUGAGGGACUUGAACAGGUGUCCUGGCUUACAUUAGAAGAAAAUAAGGGGUCAAGACUGCUGAGAUACAAAUGAGGCAUAGAUUAUUUUGGCUAAGUACGUUAAUCUGGUGCUGAUAAUAGUGAAUUUUUUUUGAAGGUUUGUGUAUGUAUGUGAAAGAGUUACAUAGAGGAGCCAGGAGAGUCUUCUGAGUCUCCCAUGUGAGUGCAGGGGCCCAAGGACACGGGCCAUCUGCUGCUGCUUUCUCAGAAGCAUUAGCGGGGAGCUUGAUUCGAAGUAGGGCAAUGGGGACUCUAACCAGUGCCCAUAUGGGAUGCUGGCACUGAAGGCAGUGGCUUAACAUGCUAUGCCACAAGCCCCAGUAGUAAAGUUUUACCAGUUGUCAAUCCAUGUUGAGACCCAGUGCCUCCCAACCCCCCAAAGUACCACUUUUACCAGGUGACAGCACAAACCUCUCUUUGUGCCUGUUUUUUUACAGUAGUGUCACUACUCCAGUGGUGCAGGCUUCACACUUCCUCCUGAACCUUUCCUGCUGUUCACCCACAGAGGCUGACUGUUGCCACGCAUCUGCCUACUGCCCCCCUUUACUUAGGCUGGGACUGGGGUACUCAUGUCCCCUGCCCGAACCACUUCCACAGCCUCUAGCUGGCUUCGGAACCCCUUCCUCUGCCAGCCCAUCUGCUGACAGUCAUCUUCCUGAUAGCUCCCUCCCUGCCCCCAGAUCAGCAUCCAGAAUCAAGAGUAGGUGCCCCUUUACUUGGUAUUCUUGCCCUUGGGGAUCUUGCCCCAGCCCGCUUUUCUGGUUGUCUGUUGCUCUGCUUCCUCACUUACUGGAGGCUCCUGGGAAUAAUGUCGCCACUGCGGUUAGGAAACUUCUCCUUUGUUCUGUUCUUUGUUCAAUUCCUGACAUCUCUUCCAGUCCAAGCUUAUUUUUGCAACUGCCUUACCUGUUCAGAGAACAGUGUCCUUGCCUUCUCUUUGUUCCCACAGUAUCUCCAUAAAUCUUUGUGGACAAGGAGGAAUCCUGCCAGUGGUAAUUUUUGGCUAGUGUAUCAAAGGUGGAGAGCAAGGCUUAUUCUUUGUGUCAGUGGUCCAACAGGUAGGCAAGUGAACGUGCUUUCUAACAAUGGUAAAAGCCGUUCAUCCAGUGCCUGUUAUGUGCUAGACUUCAAGUGCUGUGCUGCUUAGUUGAUGAAACCCUCACGACAGUCUCAGGAAGGGCAGGUGGUGUCCAGGUGCGAGAACGAAGGCCUGGAGGAUGUCAGGAGGAUGCUCAGCUAGGUGACAGCAGCAGUGUCAGGAAUGGAACCCAGGCCUGCCUGU